UCGGCCGCGUGCGCAGGCGUACUUCCUCGCUUGGGAACCACAUCGCCCGACCGUGCUCUUUAUUUUUCCGUGGAGCAGCUCUGCUUUCUCAGGUCUCUACUUACUUACAUAAGAUGGCAUCAAGAAGAAGGACCUGACCACUGGCCACUGACUACAUGGUUUUUGGAACCAGUGUCAGAGACAUGGCACAUGGAUGUGAUCUUCAAAAACUGUUACAGCCUCAUCUCAUUGGAUUGGCCUACACAUCAAGGUGCUAGAAGUGUAGCAUGCCCAGAGAUGAUGUGGAAGCUCUAUACCCGUUUCCCUUCUGCCCACCUUGCCCUGUGCAUCUCCCCUUGAAUGGCUUUUCCUGAAUUGUAUCCUUUAUAAUAAACUGGUAAAUAAGAAAAAGAUAAUAUCUUCUACUUAAUCCUGGAUACUAUAUCCAAAGUCAGAGCAUCCACUCGAAAGCAGAGAAUUUCUGAAAAACAAAAUAAUGUCAUCAUAUGAUGUUAGAAUUUUUUUUCAAAUGAUGGUUCCUAAUACUUCACAUUAGAAGAACUCAAAUUUGAUGACCAGUUUGAGAAACACCAGUAUAACCAGAUUACAAGAAAGAGCAAGUCAAAAGGAUGAUCAUGAAUAUAACAACUUCGAGGAAACAUUUAAUCAAAAACCAAAGCUUUUUAAACAACUGAGAGUUUUUAUAAGAAAAAGACCUCAUACAGUAGUCCCCACUUAUUCAUGGGGGAUACAUUUCAAGAUCCCCAGAGAAUGCCUGAAAUCACUGAUGUACCAAACCCUAACCAGGUUCUUAGUAUGAGCUACUAAAUGACAAAUGGGUAGGUAGUACAUACAGUAUAGAUAUACUGGACAAAGAAAUGAUUCACAGCCCAGGCAGGACAGAGCAGAUCACACAAGAUUUCAUCACAGUACUCAGAAAACCACACCAUUUAAAAGUUAUGAAUUGUUUAUUUCUGGAAUUUUCCAUAUAAUAUUUUUGACCACAAUUGCCUAUGGAUAACUGAAACCAUGGAAAGUGGAACUGUGGAUAAGGCAGGACUACUGUAACUAUGACAUCAAUGGUAGGAACCUGAAGCAUAAUUCUGCUGUAGUGGAUUUUUUCAAAAGAAACUCAUGAAUGAAAAAUAAUUUAUUAGAUAUAAGAAAGGAUGCAUUUGUAUCUCAAACUUUACUUAUUCUGGAAAUGAAUGAAAAGCCAACACCUAUUACAUACCCACAAAAAUGAAAAAAUAAAUAAAUGUAAAGCCAUAGUUCAGUACUGAUGGAAUCUGAGAAAAUUUAUAUGACAGUGAACCCACACGUCUGUAUUGAAUGUGGGAAAGGCUACACUUGUAUUGCAUCCCUGACCCAGCAUCAGAAAACACAUAUCAGAGAGAAACCUUAUGAAUGUAAAAUAUGUGGUAAGCCCUUUACCCGGAACACUAAUCUUAUUCAACAUCAAGGAAUACACACUGGAGAGAAACCUUAUGAAUGUAAUGAAUGUGGGAAAGCUUUUAGUCAGAGCACUAAUCUUAUUCAGCAUCAAAGAGUCCAUACUGGGGAGAAACCUUAUGAGUGUAAUGAAUGUGAAAAAACCUUUAGUCAUAGGUCGUCCCUUAGAAAUCAUGAGAGAAUCCAUACUGGAGAAAAACCCUAUCCUUGUAAUGAAUGUGGGAAAGCUUUCAGCCAUAUCUCUGCCCUUACUCAACAUCAUAGAAUUCAUACUGGAAAGAAACCAUAUGAAUGUACUGAAUGUGGAAAAACCUUCAGCCGCAGCACACACCUAAUUGAACAUCAGGGAAUUCAUUCUGAGGAAAAAUCCUACCAGUGUAAGGAAUGUCGGAAAGUUUUUUGCCACAGUACAUCACUAAUCCGACAUCAGAGAACCCACACAGGAGAGAAACCAUAUGAAUGUAAUGAAUGUGGGAAAGCUUUCAGCCAUACCCCAGCCUUCAUUCAACAUCAAAGAAUUCAUACUGGAGAAAAACCCUAUGAGUGUAAUGCAUGUGGAAAGGCCUUCAAUCGGAGUGCACAUCUUACUGAACACCAGAGAACUCAUACUGGAGAGAAGCCCUAUGUUUGUAAAGAAUGUGGAAAAACCUUCAGUCGAAGUACACACCUUACUGAACAUCUAAAAAUUCACUCUGGUGUGAAACCCUAUCGAUGUAAUGAAUGUCAGAAACUGUUUUGCUAUAGAACCUCACUAAUUCGACAUCAGAGGACGCAUACAGGAGAGAAACCCUACCAGUGUAAUGAAUGUGGGAAAUCCUUCAGCUUAAGCUCAGCUCUGACUAAACAUAAGCGAAUACAUACAAGGUAGAGACUCUAUCAAUGUAAUAAGUGUGGUAAUGUCUUUUGUCAUAGUACAUCCUUAAUUCGACAUCGGAAAACUCAUUUCAGAAAGGAAACCUUAGCAGAGUAA
rnacentral:sRNA from 1 species